rnacentral:rRNA from 1 species
CGUGCCAGCAGCCGCGGUAAUACAGAGGGUGCAAGCGUUGUUCGGAAUUACUGGGCGUAAAGCGUGCGUAGUCGGUAUUGAGAGUCGCGGGUGAAAUCCCAGGGCUUAACCCUGGAACUGCCUGCGAGACCUCAGUACUAGAGUGUGAGAGGGGAUAGUGGAAUACCCAGUGUAGCGGUGAAAUGCGUAGAGAUUGGGUGGAACACCGGUGGCGAAGGCGGCUAUCUGGCUCACAACUGACGAUCAGGCACGAAAGCGUGGGGAGCAAACAGGAUUAGAUACCCUGGUAGUCCACGCCGUAAACGAU